rnacentral:rRNA from 1 species
AACGAACGCUGGCGGCAUGCCUAAUACAUGCAAGUCGAACGAUCCCUUCGGGGAUAGUGGCGCACGGGUGCGUAACGCGUGGGAAUCUGCCCUUGGGUUCGGAAUAACAGUUGGAAACGACUGCUAAUACCGGAUGAUGACGAAAGUCCAAAGAUUUAUCGCCCAGGGAUGAGCCCGCGUAGGAUUAGCUAGUUGGUGAGGUAAAGGCUCACCAAGGCGACGAUCCUUAGCUGGUCUGAGAGGAUGAUCAGCCACACUGGGACUGAGACACGGCCCAGACUCCUACGGGAGGCAGCAGUAGGGAAUAUUGGACAAUGGGGGCUACCCUGAUCCAGCAAUGCCGCGUGAGUGAUGAAGGCCUUAGGGUUGUAAAGCUCUUUUACCCGGGAUGAUAAUGACAGUACCGGGAGAAUAAGCCCCGGCUAACUCCGUGCCAGCCGCCGCAGUAAGAC